rnacentral:rRNA from 1 species
AAUGAACGCUGGCGGCGCGCCUAAUACAUGCAAGUCGAGCGAGAAGACGUAGCAAUACGUUUGUAAAGCGGCGAACGGGUGAGGAAUACAUGGGUAACCUACCCUAGAGUGGGGAAUAACUAGCCGAAAGGUUAGCUAAUACCGCGUACGCUCCUUGGACUUCGGUUCAGGGAGGAAAGCGAUGCCGAGGGUAUCGCGCUCUUGGAUGGGCUCAUGUCCUAUCAGCUUGUUGGGAGGUAACGGCUCACCAAGGCUUCGACGGGUAGCUGGUCUGAGAGGACGAUCAGCCACACUGGCACUGCGACACGGGCCAGACUCCUACGGGAGGCAGCAGUAAGGAAUAUUGCGCAAUGGGCGAAAGCCUGACGCA